rnacentral:rRNA from 1 species
CCAGACUCCUACGGGAGGCAGCAGUGAGGAAUAUUGGUCAAUGGCCGUAAGGCUGAACCAGCCAAGUAGCGUGAGGGAAGACUGCCCUAUGGGUUGUAAACCUCUUUUAUGCGGGGAUAAAGGUGUCCACGUGUGGAUGUUUGCAGGUACCGCAUGAAUAAGGAUCGGCUAACUCCGUGCCAGCAGCCGCGGUAAUACGGAGGAUCCGAGCGUUAAUCGGAAUUACUGGGCGUAAAGGGUGCGCAGGCGGUUGAGUAAGGCAGAUGUGAAAUCCCCGAGCUUAACUCGGGAAUGGCAUAUGUGACUGCUCGACUAGAGUGUGUCAGAGGGAGGUGGAAUUCCACGUGUAGCAGUGAAAUGCGUAGAUAUGUGGAAGAACACCGAUGGCGAAGGCAGCCUCCUGGGACAUAACUGACGCUCAGGCACGAAAGCGUGGGGAGCAAACAGGAUUAGAUACCCCAGUA